rnacentral:rRNA from 1 species
UACGUAGGGGGCAAGCGUUAUCCGGAUUUACUGGGUGUAAAGGGAGCGUAGACGGCGGGGCAAGUCUGGAGUGAAAGGCCGGGGCCCAACCCCGGGACCGCUCUGGAAACUGCCAGGCUAGAGUGUCGGAGAGGUAAGUGGAAUUCCUAGUGUAGCGGUGAAAUGCGUAGAUAUUAGGAGGAACACCAGUGGCGAAGGCGGCUUACUGGACGAUGACUGACGCUGAGGCUCGAAAGCGUGGGGAGCAAACAGG